UUUCUCUCACACCGCCUCUCUCUUCCAAAUUUGGCCAAGGGUUUCCAUUUUCCUCUUAUUUUCCAGAUAUUUUUCUUCUGUUUGAUCACCACAAUCUGCUAAUGGAAGGAGAUUUUGACUCGGAGUCUCAGCAUCGGCCUCCUCCGCUCGAUAGACUUUGCCACCGCCGCUCGACCUCGGAUGCAUCGUCCUUGACCGUUGAGAAUUGCGAGGAUCCCGUUCGCCGUUCGAGGAAUGUGACGCCGGACGAAAGCACAGCAUGGACAAAUGAGAAACACAAUUCCUAUCUGUAUCAUUUGGAAAUGUCAUUUGUUGAACAACUGUACCAAUCAAAAUCUGUGCUUGCACGAUGCUCAGGGCACAACUUGAGAGACAUAAAUAUAUCUCGGAAGCAUUUGACCAAUGCUUCUGAUCAGUAUAAUGUUUCACGUAAUGGAUGUUGGCAAAAGAGUAAGCAUGCAGCGGGUGGGCCUACUCACAACAGUACUCACCAUUCGAAGCAUGGAGAUGUGCAUUACCAUCCAUCACUAAGUAAAGUGCGCACAUCCAUGAAGCUCAUUAGGACAAGGAAUCAAGGGGAAAGGAUGAUAUCUCAUGGAACACAAGCAUGUUCACAGGACAUAAUUGACUCAAAUAGAGUUGUUCUGUGUUCGGAAAAAAGAGAAGGGAGAGUGACCUGCUGCACUUAAACGGUUAAAAGUUGCAUCUUAUGCUUUGUACUUUGAGGAGACGGGUCAAAACUUUUUGAAUGAAAACAAUCAAAAUACACUAAAUUCCGAGUCCCAAGCAAAAAGGUUGAAGAUAGCUUUGGAGGAUGGAUCACAUCAGGAUCAAAUUGUUCCUUCAAUGUGAUGCCCUCCAGCAGAUGAUGAACAGAUCAAAUUACUGCUCGCUGUGAAACUGUCUUGAAAUUUUGAUAGCCGUGUUUAUUAUCCAACUUGAAAUGCAUUUUCACAUGGGAGGCCCUGUAGACAUUAUUACCAUUAAAAGAGGGUGGUGAAGAUUAAUGAGGUGCAGGAUUUAAAGUUUCCCCUAGCAUUUCCAAAUCGAGGUAACAUAUAAGUUGAGUCCAUGGGAAGGAUCAGUGAAGGAUGUGAUCCCAUGGAAUUUCAGUAUCCUGAAACUAAGAACCACAUCGUUUUGUCGUAGUAGAUUCCUAGAAACAGAAGCUUUAUCAUGCCUGCAUAAACUCAUUUGCUUGACCUGUAGAUAAGAUGCAGAGAUAUAAAAUGAUUUAUAUAGUUGCCUGUGUAAAGAAAAUCUACUUUCUUCCUCCUAUGGAUUGUAGGUUACGUGGCCGGGGAUGUAAAUGGUCUGUAGAUGUCUAGGUGAACAUCUGUCUCCUGCUUUCGAUUUUGUGAGCUUAGUUCGCUCACUCCACAAAUAUCUAUAUAUUGUUGUUUGAUACUCUUCAAAAUUUUUUUAGUAAUAUUGGUUAUACAUUUUUGUUGUAUGAA